UACGGGGGGGGCAAGCGUUGUUCGGAAUUACUGGACGUAAAGGGCUCGUAGGCGGCCAACUAAGUCAGACGUGAAAUCCCUCGGCUUAACCGGGGAACUGCGUCUGAUACUGGAUGGCUUGAGUUUGGGAGAGGGAUGCGGAAUUCCAGGUGUAGCGGUGAAAUGCGUAGAUAUCUGGAGGAACACCGGUGGCGAAGGCGGCAUCCUGGACCAACACUGGCGCUGAGGAGCGAAAGCCAGGGGAGCAAACGGG
rnacentral:rRNA from 1 species